rnacentral:rRNA from 1 species
GGUUGAUCCUGCCAGUAGUCAUAUGCUUGUCCCAAAGAUUAAGCCAUGCAUGUCCAAGUAUAAACAAGUCUAUACAGUGAAACUGCGAAUGGCUCAUUAUAUCAGUUAUAAUUUAUUUGAUAGUCUCUUACUACUCGGAUAACCGUGGUAAUUCUAGAGCUAAUACGUGCACAAGGCCCGACUCCUCGGGGAAGGGCUGUAUUUAUUAGAUAAAAAACCAGUGCCAGCGAUGGCUCCCGGUGAUUCAUAAUAACUUUGCGGAUCGUACGGCCCCGUGCCGACGACGUUUCAUU